rnacentral:tRNA from 1 species
GAGGGUAUAGCUCAGUGGUAGAGUACAUGCUUAGCAUGCAGAAUAAGGUCCUGGGUUCAAUCCCCAGUACCUCCA